CUGUGUGUGUAUGUCUGUGUGUGUGUGUGUAUGUCAGUAUGACAGACAUACUGACAUACACACACUGACACACACACACUC